UACGUAGGGGGCAAGCGUUGUCCGGAUUUAUUGGGCGUAAAGAGCGUGUAGGCGGCUAUACAGGUCCGCUGUGAAAACUCGAGGCUCAACCUCGAGACGUCGGUGGAAACCGUAUGGCUAGAGUCCGGAAGAGGAGAGUGGAAUUCCUGGUGUAGCGGUGAAAUGCGCAGAUAUCAGGAAGAACAUCAGUGGCGAAAGCGACUUCCUGGACCAAUACUGACGCUCAUGUGCGAAAGCGUGGGGAGCAAACAGG
rnacentral:rRNA from 1 species